CUUCAAUGUAGCGAGAAAUUCCGGCAACCGGAGGCGUCCUUCAGCUGGCCCCUAAACAAAUAUAUACUAGUCCAGUGAUAAUGAACGCCAUAUUAAUUUCCAAAUUGUACACAAGAAACUAAAAUUAAAAUAAUACAAGACUAACAAAGGCCAGAGGCUCCUGACUUGGGACAGGCGCAAAAAUGCGGCGGGGUUAAACAUGUUUGUGAGAUCUCAACUCUCCCCCUAUACCUCUAACCAAUGUAGAAAAGUAAACGCAUAACAAUACGCACAUUAAAAUUCAGUUCAAGAGAAGUCCGAGUCUGAUGUCAGAAGAUGUAACCAAAGAAAAUAAACAAAAUGACAAUAAUACAUAAAUAACAACAGACUACUAGCAGUUAACUGACAUGCCAGCUCCAGACUUCAAUUAAACUGACUGAAAGAUUAUGAUUUCAUCAUAUGAACAUCAGGCACAAUCCUUCCCUUUAGGGGUUUAGUAUCAUACCAUCAUAACAUAUAUGAGAAGAAUAUAACCCGUGUCAUGC
rnacentral:lncRNA from 1 species